UACGUAGGGCGCAAGCGUUGUCCGGAAUUAUUGGGCGUAAAGAGCUCGUAGGCGGCUUGUCACGUCGGAUGUGAAAGCCCGAGGCUUAACCUCGGGUCUGCAUUCGAUACGGGCUAGCUAGAGUGUGGUAGGGGAGAUCGGAAUUCCUGGUGUAGCGGUGAAAUGCGCAGAUAUCAGGAGGAACACCGGUGGCGAAGGCGGGUCUCUGGGCCAUAACUGACGCUGAGGAGCGAAAGCGUGGGGAGCGAACAGG
rnacentral:rRNA from 1 species